CCUACGGGGGGCAGCAGUGAGGAAUAUUGGUCAAUGGGCUUACGCCUGAACCAGCCAAGUCGCGUGAGGGAAGACUGCCCUAUGGGUUGUAAACCUCUUUUGUCAGGGAGCAACGCCGGCUACGUGUAGCCGGACUGAGAGUACCUGAAGAAAAAGCAUCGGCUAACUCCGUGCCAGCAGCCGCGGUAAUACGGAGGAUGCGAGCGUUAUCCGGAUUUCUUGGGUUUAAAGGGUGCGUAGGCGGAAUGCCAAGUCAGCGGUAAAAGCGCGGGGCUCAACCUCGCUCCGCCGUUGAAACUGGCGUUCUUGAGUGGGCGAGAAGUAUGCGGAAUGCGUGGUGUAGCGGUGAAAUGCAUAGAGAUCACGCAGAACUCCGAUUGCGAAGGCAGCAUACCGGCGCCCAACUGACGCUGAAGCACGAAAGCGUGGGUAUCGAACAGGAUUAGAUACCCCAGUAGUC
rnacentral:rRNA from 1 species